UGUUAAUAUGCAUCAAAUUAAGCCCAUUGAAGUGUUAAAUAUGAAAACCGAAACAGUAGCGAAGAAUGACGCAAUAAAAGAUAAACAAGCGGUGGUCUCAUAAAAGACAAAUACCUGAAUGAAUCACGUUUCACGUUUCACGCUAAUUUGUCGUGUAGCUUUUAAAAGCAAAUAAUUUGAAUAAAUAUACGCACACCUUGCGUACACCUACAUGAGAAUAUAUUAAUAAAACAAGUUCAGCAAACAUAAAAAGAAGCAAUGGAAAUUAUGUUUCUACUUUACACUGCUGUUAUUGUAUGGCAAAUUUUUGUUAUGUAAAUAUGUAUUUAAUUUUUUUUAUUAUUUAAAUUUUCUUCAAAUUAGCUGCUUUUGGAUAUUAUCUGUCAAAUAACUUUUUUUUUUACUUGUCUCAUGGAGAUAAUACUUUUGUACUUCAUGCAUUAUUUAUUGUCUAGACUCGUCUGCAAAGGAAUUAGCUGCAAAUGUCGCACGAUUUUCUAUCUAUGCAGUGAAAUGUCUUAUACCAAAUAUUUUCCAAGUAACCGUUUAAAUAUUAAUAAAUUCUUUAGUAUUAAGCUUUGUGUUAAGUUUUUGAUUUAAGAUUCCAAUAUUUCAUAAUUUUUUUUUAGGCCAAGAUAGUAAAGAAUAUGUGAAUUUUUGUUGAAAAUAGCACAUGAUAUCGUGAAAAAUGUAUUAAAUUUGCCAACAUGCGAAUAUAAAUUAAACAGAAUGCAAACAAAGGCGAAGAGACUUAACACUUUUAGCUGAGAUUUUCAUAGAAUCUUAAUAUGUAAUCUUUUUUUUUGACAUUAUAUGGUUUUCAACUUACGUAAAAAAGCGGUUUUAGAUAAUUUUUUUUUAAUUCCUGUUGUUAAUAUUAAGUUUUUGUUAUAAUAAAGAUAUAAUCAAGCGGAGUCUUUAGAAUAUUUUUAGUUGAAAUUGUUCCAUCAAUAAUAAACGAAGAGGUUACCAGAUCAUUAAAAAAGGAAAAUAGAAAAAAUAAAAUAUUCAUUGUUUGUAAAUAAUUCAAAAAAAAAAAAAAAAUGUGAUAAAAGAAAAUUGCAGAACAACAAAAUUCACAUUUCCGAAUUCGAUUAAAAAUAGAGAAAGUUUGGCAAGCACAUACGUACAUACAUACAUACACGUCAAUAAUAAUAAGUACAAAAACAAACAUAAAACCGAAGCAACCUUAAAUAGAAAGAAUUAACAAUAGAACACCGGACCCAAAGAGCUGGACGCUACUGAUAAGCAAUGACAAUGCAAUACGUGAGCUGUGACUGAUUUGAAUAGCGGCCUGGAGAACACAGAAAAAAACCAAAAAAAAAAAAAAUAAACAAAUAAAUUUUAUCAAAACAAUUUGCCAUCACUUUGAAUGGAUGCAAAGCAUAUUUUACUUUUCAAAUAAGUAAAGAAAAGGGCACAAAACAAGAAAGAACUAGAAGAAACAAAACAAAGCACCAAAGGCAACACGAAGCGUUUGUAAUCACAGCUGAUGAGUGCGAGAAUGCCUGUCUGAAGUAAUAAUGCACACACUUAUAUACAUAUGUAUGCACCUACGCAUACAAAUAAAUUAUUUGAAUAUAAUGACACAACAAAUACAAUUCAAUUUAUAUGUAAAACAACAACAAAAACUAUAUAGAACAAUACAGUUUUUGCUAUUAUUAUUAUUUACUUGCAUUCCAUAUUAUUGCUAUUAUAAUCAGUUGGAAAAAAGAAGAGGUAAAAGACGUAAGAGCAAAAACAACAACAAUUAUAGCAACAACAUCAGCAUCACUCACAAGCCAUUACAAGAGUCCAGAUGACACUCUCGUGCCCUAACCCUGUUUUUGUUAUUGUUGAAAUACAUAUGUACACAUACACGUAUGUACAUAUACAAUAGUAUGUAUAACAAUCUUUUUUCUUCGAUGUUUCCAGGCUUAUAGAAAAAAAACACUAUUCUGCUGAUUGUGUAUAUACUACAUACAGACAUACAUACAUACAUACAUCCAUACAUUAGUAGACACUUAUGAAAAUGCAUUUUAGAGCAUUUAGUUUUGAAAUUGUGUGCCUAAGAUGCUGUUGUACCUUGAGAGCGGAGACCUUGCAUUAUUCGGUUUAAGACAAUUUGUGACAUAACGGUAGAAGCGUGGAGUUUUGAAAUAGCAUUAAAUGCAAAUAAAAAUAAAACAAAUUCAAAGAUUCUUUGAAAUGUUAAAAAAUAAAAGUUGGUGUAAUGCAAAUCAACUAGGAAAAGUGAAACAAAACGAAAACAAAGUGCAGAAAUUGAAACUCUUUCUAAACAAAAUGCUAACUCAUGAUAUGCGCAACUCAGUGUGACGCGUGGAAAAGCAAAACGUGAUUGUGAUGUGAAAAGCAUAAUAAGAAUUAUUUAGAGAAAAUAACAAAAAUCGAAGAUACACAAUCAUUAACAUAAAACCAAUUUAAAGUGUAUACAAAAAAAAAAAA
rnacentral:lncRNA from 1 species